AGUUGAUCAUGGCUCGAGGACGAACGCUGGCGGCGUGCUUAACACAUGCAAGUCGAACGAUGACCGAAAAGCUGAUUCUUCGGAAUGAAGCUUUCAUGAUUAGUGGCGGACGGGUGAGUAACGCGUGAGCAACCUGCCUUAGACAACGGGAUAGCCAAGGGAAACUUUGAUUAAUACCGUAUAAUGUUAUUUUCUCGCAUGAGAGAUUGACCAAAGGAUUCUGGUCUAAGAUGGGCUCGCGUCUGAUUAGCUAGUUGGUGUGAUAAAGGCGCACCAAGGCGACGAUCAGUAGCCGGCUUGAGAGAGUGAACGGCCACACUGGAACUGAGACACGGUCCAGACUCCUACGGGAGGCAGCAGUGGGGAAUAUUGCACAAUGGAGGAAACUCUGAUGCAGCGACGCCGCGUGAACGAAGAAGGCCUUCGGGUCGUAAAGUUCUGUCCUAUGGGAAGAUAAUGACGGUACCAUAGGAGGAAGCUCCGGCUAACUACGUGCCAGCCGCUGC
rnacentral:rRNA from 1 species